UUUUUUUUUAGAAGGGGGACUAAGAAUUGAACUCAGGGGCACUUGACCACUGAGCCACACCCCCAGCCCUUUUUUGUAUUUUAUUUAGAGACAGGGUCUCACUGAGUUGCUUAGUGCCUCACUUUUGCUGAGGCUGGCUUUGAACUUGCAAUUCUCCUGCCUCAGCCUUCUGAGCUGCUGGGAUUACAUGCAUGUGCCACUGUUUGAGGGAAAAAACUUUUACAAAUUCUUAUAAUUCAGCAUAAUU
rnacentral:lncRNA from 1 species